rnacentral:lncRNA from 1 species
GUUCAGUAACAGUAAGAAAAGUUGGGGGAUUCAUUGAUUUGUAUAAAACUAAAACUAAAUCACGAGAAAGAGAGGGGGCUAUCUUCUUAGACGGCCCUAAACGCAUUUUCCUCGAACUUUCUUCCUCUGUUUUUCUCUCACUCGUUGAUCUUCAUAUACAGAGGGCUCUUUGUUUGUUUGUUUGAUUUGAUUGUCAAUACCCAAGUCAAGGCUUGGUUCUUUCUGUUCGUUUCUGGUUAUGUUGUUCCAUCUUUUUACUUGAUGAAUGAGUUCUGGUUGUUGUGUUUUGAGUUGAAAGUUGUGAUUUUUGAUCAGAAGUUUAUGUUUAGUUGGUCAAAGAUUGAGUUUUUAAGUUGUUUGGGAAUAUGAUAAUCUGUUAUGUUUGCAUCCCAACUGGUUUAGUUGGUCAAAGAUUGAGUUUUUAAGUUCUUUGGGAAUAUGGUAUCUAUUUUGUUUGCAUCCCAAAUCGUUUAUGGGGUGAAGUUAGUUGAUUUCUGUUUCAAAGAUUGAUUUUUUGUCAAUUAUUUCGAUGUGGUUUUGUUGGUGUUGGGUUUGUUAGAAGAUAGCAAUCAGUUUUUUCAGUGUUUUCUUGAUCCUGGUAGGUCUGGUUU